AGAGUUUGAUCCUGGCUCAGGACGAACGCUGGCGGCGUGCUUAACACAUGCAAGUCGAACGAUGAUGCCCAGCUUGCUGGGUGGAUUAGUGGCGAACGGGUGAGUAACACGUGAGUAACCUGCCCUUCACUCUGGGAUAACUCCGGGAAACCGGGGCUAAUACUGGAUAUGACUCCUCCUCGCAUGGGGUGGGAGUGGAAAGCUUUUGUGGUGGAGGAUGGACUCGCGGCCUAUCAGCUUGUUGGUGAGGUAGUGGCUCACCAAGGCGACGACGGGUAGCCGGCCUGAGAGGGCGACCGGCCACACUGGGACUGAGACACGGCCCAGACUCCUACGGGAGGCAGCAGUGGGGAAUAUUGCACAAUGGGCGAAAGCCUGAUGCAGCGACGCCGCGUGAGGGAUGAAGGCCUUCGGGUUGUAAACCUCUUUCAGCUCUGAAGAAGCGAAAGUGACGGUAGGAGCAGAAGAAGCACCGGCUAACUACGUGCCAGCAGCCGCGGUAAUACGUAGGGUGCGAGCGUUGUCCGGAAUUAUUGGGCGUAAAGAGCUUGUAGGUGGUUUGUCGCGUCUGCGGUGAAAUCCCAACGCUUAACGUUGGGCUUGCCGUGGGUACGGGCAGACUAGAGUGUGGUAGGGGAGACUGGAAUUCCUGGUGUAGCGGUGAAAUGCGCAGAUAUCAGGAGGAACACCGAUGGCGAAGGCAGGUCUCUGGGCCAUAACUGACACUGAGAAGCGAAAGCAUGGGGAGCGAACAGGAUUAGAUACCCUGGUAGUCCAUGCCGUAAACGUUGGGCGCUAGGUGUGGGGCUCAUUCCACGAGUUCCGUGCCGCAGCUAACGCAUUAAGCGCCCCGCCUGGGGAGUACGGCCGCAAGGCUAAAACUCAAAGGAAUUGACGGGGGCCCGCACAAGCGGCGGAGCAUGCGGAUUAAUUCGAUGCAACGCGAAGAACCUUACCAAGGCUUGACAUACACCGGAAACAUUCAGAGAUGGGUGCCCCGCAAGGUCGGUGUACAGGUGGUGCAUGGUUGUCGUCAGCUCGUGUCGUGAGAUGUUGGGUUAAGUCCCGCAACGAGCGCAACCCUCGUUCUAUGUUGCCAGCGCGUUAUGGCGGGGACUCAUAGGAGACUGCCGGGG
rnacentral:rRNA from 1 species